GCUCAGCCCUGGCCGUGCUGCGCCCCCCAGGCCACCACGCCUGCCGGGGGUCCGCGGGGGGCUUCUGCCUCUUCAACAACGUGGGGGUGGCGGCCAGACACGCCCAGAGCCUGGCGGGGACCCCCCUCAGGGUGCUGAUCCUGGACUGGGACGUUCACCACGGGAACGGGACCCAGGAGAUCUUUGAGGACGACCCCAGUGUCCUGUACGGGUCCCUGCCCUGCGAUUGG